AGACCCGAAACCCGGUGAUCUAGCCAUGGGCAGGUUGAAGGUUGGGUAACACUAACUGGAGGACCGAACCGACUAAUGUUGAAAAAUUAGCGGAUGACCUGUGGCUGGGGGUGAAAGGCCAAUCAAACCGGGAGAUAGCUGGUUCUCCCCGAAAGCUAUUUAGGUAGCGCCUCGUGAAUUCAUCUCCGGGGGUAGAGCACUGUUUCGGCUAGGGGGCCAUCCCGGCUUACCAACCCGAUGCAAACUGCGAAUACCGGAGAAUGUUAUCACGGGAGACACACGGCGGGUGCUAACGUCCGUCGUGAAGAGGGAAACAACCCAGACCGCCAGCUAAGGUCCCAAAGUCAUGGUUAAGUGGGAAACGAUGUGGGAAGGCCCAGACAGCCAGGAUGUUGGCUUAGAAGCAGCCAUCAUUUAAAGAAAGCGUAAUAGCUCACUGGUCGAGUCGGCCUGCGCGGAAGAUGUAACGGGGCUAAACCAUGCACCGAAGCUGCGGCAGCGAACGUAUCACCCAAGACAACUUUACGGAGUUGACGAUUGACGGAGCGAAGCGACGUCAAAGCGUUCAUUAAAGUCGAGUUGGCUUAGGGAUACGUUCGUUGGGUAGGGGAGCGUUCUGUAAGCCUGUGAAGGUGUGUCGUGAGGCAUGCUGGAGGUAUCAGAAGUGCGAAUGCUGACAUAAGUAACGAUAAAGCGGGUGAAAAGCCCGCUCGCCGGAAGACCAAGGGUUCCUGUCCAACGUUAAUCGGGGCAGGGUGAGUCGACCCCUAAGGCGAGGCCGAAAGGCGUAGUCGAU
rnacentral:rRNA from 1 species